UACGUAGGGAGCAAGCGUUGUCCGGAAUCACUGGGCGUAAAGGGCGCGUAGGCGGCCGAUUAAGUCGGGGGUGAAAGCCUGUGGCUCAACCACAGAAUUGCCUUCGAUACUGAUUGGCUUGAGACCGGAAGAGGUCAGUGGAACUGCGAGUGUAGAGGUGAAAUUCGUAGAUAUUCGCAAGAACACCAGUGGCGAAGGCGGCUGACUGGUCCGGUUCUGACGCUGAGGCGCGAAAGCGUGGGGAGCAAACAGG
rnacentral:rRNA from 1 species